rnacentral:rRNA from 1 species
GUGCCAGCCGCCGCGGUAAUACGGAGGGUGCAUCCGUUAAUCGGAAUUACUGGGCGUAAAGCGUACGCAGGCGGUUUGUUUUGCGAGAUGUGAAAGCCCCGGGCUCAACCUGGGAACUGCAUUUCGAACUGGCAAUGUAGAGUGUGAUAGAGGGUGGUAGAAUUUCAGGUGUAGCGGUGAAAUGCGUAGAGAUCUGAAGGAAUACCGAUGGCGAAGGCAGCCACCUGGGUCAACACUGACGCUCAUGUACGAAAGCGUGGGGAGCAAACAGGAUUAGAUACCCCCGUAGUCC